UACGUAGGGGGCUAGCGUUGUCCGGAAUCAUUGGGCGUAAAGCGCGCGUAGGCGGCCAGAUAAGUCCGGUGUGAAAGCCACAGGCUCAACCUGUGAAUGCCGCUGGAAACUGUCUGGCUAGAGUCCGGGAGGGGCGAGUGGAAUUCCUGGUGUAGCGGUGAAAUGCGCAGAUAUCAGGAGGAACACCAAUGGCGAAGGCAGCUCGCUGGAACGGAACUGACGCUGAGGCGCGAAGGCUAGGGGAGCGAACGGG
rnacentral:rRNA from 1 species